UCUAUCCACACAAGGACAGAAUACUCUGUUUAUUCUCAGUAUCUUGCUUGUAUUUCCUUAUUUUGUUUCUUUGAAUAAAUUCUUUUUAAGGAGUGUACUACUGCCACUUCUAGCAGGUUUACUUCGUCUAUUCUGGUGCAUACAAUUAUAAUCCAAAGAAAGGACUAUAUUUAAUUCGUUAAUUGGAUUUAAUAAUAUAGGUACAUUUAAAGAAUCUGAAACUUUGAAAAUGGCACCAAACAAGAAUGGUCGUGGCAAGACGAAGGGAGACAAGAAGAAGAAAGAAGAGAAGGGUAUUCUUUACUGCGAUAACAAUCUGCAUUUGCUCGUUUAAUGCAUUUUAACAAUAAGAUUUAAAUGUCAAUGAUUUUUUAUUGCUUACUGAUGAUAUUUUUCCUUUUGAUGCUCAUCAGUUCUUCCAGUUGUAAUGGAUAUAAUGAUAAACCUUCCGGACGAGACUCAAGUUAUUUUAAAGG
rnacentral:lncRNA from 1 species